GAUGAAGAACGUAGUGAAAUGCGAUAAUUAAUGUGAAUUGCAGAAUUCUGUGAAUCAUCGAGUCUUUGAACGCACAUUGCGCCCCCUGGUAUUCCGGGGGGCAUGCCUGUCCGAGCGUCAUUGCUGCCCUCAAGCACGGCUUGUGUGUUGGGCUUCCGUCCCUGGCAACGGGGACGGGCCCAAAAGGCAGUGGCGGCACCAUGUCUGGUCCUCGAGCGUAUGGGGCUUUGUCACCCGCUCCCGUAGCUCCAGCUGGCAGCUAGCCUCGCAACCAAUCUUUUUAACCAGGUUGACCUCGGAUCAGGUAGGGAUACCCGCUGAACUUAAGCAUAUCAAUAAGCGGAGGA
rnacentral:misc_RNA from 1 species